AUCUGGUACCUUCGGUGCCCGAGUUGUAAUUUGAAGAAAGCUAUCUUGGAGGUGGCCCUUGUCUAUGUUCCUUGGAACAGGACGUCAUGGAGGGUGAGAAUCCCGUGUGAUGAGGUGUCCAUUUCCGUGUAAGAUGCUUUCGAAGAGUCGAGUUGUUUGGGAAUGCAGCUCAAAGUGGGUGGUAAAUUCCAUCUAAAGCUAAAUAUUGGCGAGAGACCGAUAGCGAACAAGUACUGUGAAGGAAAGAUGAAAAGAACUUUGAAAAGAGAGUGAAAAAGUACGUGAAAUUGUUGAAAGGGAAGGGUAUUUGAUCAGACUUGGUAUUUAGCUAUCAUCGCUCCUUGUGGGUGGUGCUCUAGCUUUUUACUGGGCCAGCAUCAGUUUUGGUGGCAAGAUAAUGACAGUUGAAUGUGGCUCCUCGGAGUGUUAUAGCUUCUGUUGAUGUUGCCUACCGAGACUGAGGUCUGCGGCUUUUGCCUAGGAUGCUGGCGUAAUGAUCCAAUACCGCCCGCUGA
rnacentral:rRNA from 1 species